rnacentral:lncRNA from 11 species
AUGAAAGCUUAUUUUAAAAUAAAAAAGUUAACUUUAAAGGCACUGCAUGUUGUAUUCCAGCCUGCUUCUGAGCUGUCAGGUGAACCUGGGGUUGGGCCUGUUCAACCUGUGAUUGGACCUGCACCUGACCUUCAGAUGAGCCUGGGUUGGAGCCUAGGAUUCCCAUGCAGCCAGAGCCUUGAAUACAAUCAUCUUCAAAACUCCAACUUCUGGAAAAUUUGA